AUUGAACGCUGGCGGCAGGCCUAACACAUGCAAGUCGAACGAGUGGCGGACGGGUGAGUAAUGUCUGGGAAACUGCCUGAUGGAGGGGGAUAACUACUGGAAACGGUAGCUAAUACCGCAUACCAUCGGAUGUGCCCACAUGGGAUUAGCUAGUAGGUGGGGUAAAGGCUCACCUAGGGGACGAUGCCUAGCUGGUCUGAGAGGAUGACCAGCCACCCGGGAACUGAUAAACGGUCAUGACGCCUACGGGAGGGUGCAGUGGGGAAUACUGGACAACGGGCGCAAGCCUGAUGCAGCCAUGCCGCGUGUAUGAAGAAGGGCUUCGGGUUGUAAAGUACUUUCAGCGGGGAAGCGUUACCCGCAGAAGAAGCACCGGCUAACUCCGUGCCAGCAGCCGCGGUAAUAC
rnacentral:rRNA from 1 species